ensembl:lncRNA
AGAAUAGACAACAGCUACGGAAACGUAGCACAAUGUGGACACGUCAUUGUGAACGACGUGGACAGCAGAGUAGAGGCCGCACAGUUCCUACACACCUCAGAGCGCGCGUGCAACCUAGUUGCUAGGCAACGACGCGCGUCGCCGACGUUCCUUGCCCCGUAGAGUUCAGCCGCGUGUCGCCGGAGCUCGUCUGUCCCGGACGCAACUUGCAAAGCGCGGCCGCAAUCCGCCCCUGGCUCCGUGUCCUGGUUUGAGUUGUUGAGGACACCACGGAAAGUCCUUCGGUCCUGAGAUGCAGCCGGUGUGCUCGGGAGGCUGUUGAGACCCAGAACCCCAUAGACACCUUUUCAAGGAUGUGAUGCUUUCCAAACCAGGCUGUUCUUUUACCACCAGUCUGAGUCAAAAUAUAGAGGAGGAGGAGGAAGAGGAGAAGGAGGUUAGAUGAAGAGGAAGCUGUGGGCUGAUGGGCAGGAACAGGCCUCCAGCCUCCCCACACGCCUCCACACACCCGUGCAUGGAGGAUUCCCCACCACCUGCCACCAGAGAGAUGGUCUUCUGCAGGAAUCGUGGAGGGAGGAUGGAGUCAGUGAUCGCAAGAUUUCUCUUUAAGUUCAACAAUUGUGCCAUCUAGUGGUGCUCCUCUAAGAGAUCCAUCUGAUCCAAACAACAGUGAUGCGUCCAUAACGGCACCUCUUGAAACACAGUUUGCGUGUCAGAAACAGGCCGAACAGUCUUUUGCAAGCUGUAAUUUAGAACUUCUGUCUACGCAGUGCAACAACGUUUUUCCUAUGGAUGUUGUUAGGGUUCAAGUUAGGGUGAAUUAUAUUUGGAAUAAAUGUUCCAUUUGGAGGUUUUAACAUCUACUAAGGCUUUGGAGGAGUUUUCUACCAGCGGGUUCCCAUUUUAUUUGUACUUUCCACAUGCACGCUGCACACAUACACAUCGUGCCAAUGGUGUCCCACAAUUCUACUGAUGGCGGUAAUGUUGCAACACAGCAAUACGUGAAAAGAGGCAGAGAAGAAGAAGAAGACUUCCUACUGGUAAUUUUGGAUGUCGAUAAUGGGAAAUCUAACUUUAAAGGUUUCAUGUGAAAGCAAGUGCAUUCAUCCCUUUUUGUCUCAAUACACACAUUUCACAUAGUGUAAUCAUUGUUUCUGCAAUCACAGAAUUCAUUUUUCAGUUAUUCUACAACAUGUAUAUCCAUAAAGGAACAGUUCUUAUAAUAAUCAUUUGUUCUGUUAACGGAGAGUUAACAGAACAAAUGUAAUUUCAUGGUUGAAUAAACCCUUGGCAAGGCUUUAAAAACAAAUACCGUAUCUCUUCUGGUCAUUAACAA